CCCGCUGAACUUAAGCAUAUCAAUAAGCGGAGGAAAAGAAACUAACAAGGAUUCCCCUAGUAACUGCGAGUGAACCGGGAAAAGCUCAAAUUUUGAAUCUGGCGGUCUUCAGGCCGUCCGAGUUGUAAUCUAGAAAAGCGUCUUCCGCGCUGGACCGUGUAUAAGUUUCCUGGAAUGGAACGUCGUAGAGGGUGAGAAUCCCGUCUUUGACACGGACUGCCAGGGCUAUGUGAUGCGCUCUCGACGAGUCGAGUUGUUUGGGAAUGCAGCUCAAAUAGGGUGGUAAAUUCCAUCUAAAGCUAAAUACAGGCGAGAGACCGAUAGCGAACAAGUACCGUGAGGGAAAGAUGAAAAGAACUUUGGAAAGAGAGUUAAACAGUACGUGAAAUUGCUGAAAGGGGAACGCUUGAUGUCAGUCGCGUCGUCCGGGGAUCAGCCUUGCUCUUUUGCUCGGUGUAUUUCCUGGUCGACGGGGUCAGCAUCGGUUUUCGACCGUCGGAAAAUGGGCUCGAGGAAUGUGGCACCCUUCGGGGUGUGUUAUAGACUCGGGUCGAAUACGGCGAUUGGGACCGAGGAACUCAGCACGACCUUAGGGUUCGGGGCUUCGGCCCACGUCAACGUGCUUAGGAUGCUGGCAUAAUGGCCUUAAGCGACCCGUCUUGAAACACGG
rnacentral:rRNA from 1 species